AUGUAAUUUCCUACAACAUUAAUGCACAGGAUCCCAUUAGAACUCCACAGUUAAGCACACUUGGGAUAUAGUAGUAUUGGGAUGGGUGAUUUCCUUGGAAGUCCUAGUGUUUUACAUG
rnacentral:rRNA from 1 species